GAUGGGUAGGGAUACCCGCUGAACUUAAGCAUAUCAAUAAGCGGAGGAAAAGAAACCAACAGGGAUUGCCUCAGUAACUGCGAGUGAAGCGGCAAAAGCUCAAAUUUGAAAUCUGGCCCGUCUCCGGCGGCCCGAGUUGUAAUUUGGAGGGGCAUCUUCAGGGGUGGGCGCCGUCCUAAGUUCCUUGGAACAGGACGUCACAGAGGGUGAGAAUCCCGUGCCUGGGCGGCAGUCCCGCUCCAUGUGAAGUGUCUCCGACGAGUCGAGUUGUUUGGGAAUGCAGCUCAAAAUGGGUGGUAAAUUUCAUCUAAAGCUAAAUAUUGGCGAGAGACCGAUAGCGCACAAGUAGAGUGAUCGAAAGAUGAAAAGCACUUUGAAAAGAGAGUUAAAAAGUACGUGAAAUUGUUGAAAGGGAAGCGCUUGAGAUCAGACUCGUCGGACGGCAACCAUCGGUGCUUCUGUGCCGUGCACUUGCCGACCGACGGGCCAGCAUCGGUUCCGGCGGCGGGAAAAAGGCCCGGGCAAUGUGGCUCUCUUCGGGGAGUGUUAUAGGCCCGGGUGUCAUACCGCCUGCUGGGACCGAGGACCG
rnacentral:rRNA from 1 species